rnacentral:lncRNA from 1 species
CUCUUUCUGCACCAAUCAGGCCCCAGAGACUCACCCCCCUGUGUCCCGAUUGGCCUAUUGGCUCACCUGGAGGGGGAUAAAAGGGGCAGCAUGGGCUGACUCAGGGAGACCAGCAAGGGACAAAAAGGAAGAGGCUUCACAGAGCUGAGCUAGCAGGGCAGAAGCAGUGCCCUGGAAGAGCCUGAAAGAGCAGGGCCUGCAGGCAGCAGUGGGACCCUCAGCAGUGCCGCAUGCAGCUGGCAGGAGAGGCUCCCCACUGGGCUCCAGGAUCCCCUAUGAGAGGCUGUAGCCAGCAGGAGAGACUCCCCAGCUCCAGGAAGGAUCUGAGCAGUGACCUGAGGCGUUCCCAGCUUUGCUUCUAGCUCCUCCAAUCAGAGGUCAGGCAGCUUGACAUGAGGCUGGGCUCUGGGAAGGUCAAGACCCCUAGCAGGAUUAAAAGGAAUAUGGUUAAGUCCCCAUUGGUGGUCUGGCUCUGCUCUAUAGGGGAGGAGAGUCUCUACACUUCCCACAGCGCUUGUGCACCUGCUUUGAUCCCUUCAACUGGAGAGAGGGUACGUCUUGGAGUACUGCCUGGGUUACACUACACUUACAGUCUUAUCUUUUCUCACAUCCUUCCUGAAUCUUUCUCCUGCUAAUACUGCCAUUUUCACUAUUCUUAAUGACUACUUUGAUUCUAUGCUAUCUUUGCCAUAGUCUUUCUAUCCUAGUGCACCAGACUACACUCUCUUCAUUUUUAUUUCUCUGAGCUGUCUCUGAAUGCCCCAAAUUGGCAUCAGGUUGAGAAUAUUACAUGUUGAGAACUAUACAUUUAUAACAGUGAUUCUCAAACAGGAUGCCACAGCACUGCAGGGUGCCUUGAGAUCCUUUCAAGGGUGCCAUGGGAUGCCACACAAUGUUAGUUAGCACUGUUAGGUUUGAAAACAUGAUUCACAAGAAAAAGCCAGAAUUUUCAAAUAGGAAUCCAUAAUGUUAAAAACAUUCUGCCCUGUUGUGGUCUUUCUGAGUUGUUUGCAACAGAAGAUUUGCUCUAUUUUUUUCUGCAGUGAAAAAAUGCGUGAAAAAAUUAGGAGGUGGUAUUUUUGAGGGUUGUCUCAUAUCUAAUCAGGGGGUGCCUUGAGUAUAAAAAGGUUAAGAAGCACUAAUUUAUAGUCUUAAACUUUUAUUUUUCCCUUUCCAUAGAUUAUUCGUGAAGAGUAGUCCUACUGAAAUCUAUGAGAGUUUUGCCUCAGCUUCAGUGGCUGCAUCUACGUGAGACACUGACUACAUAGUAGCUUGUUACUACCGCACAGCAGCUCAUUACUAUGGCACAGUAGCGCCACAUGGCCCAAAGCAAAUGAUGCUACUGUGCAGUAGUAACAAGCUACUGCACUAUCAGCAUCACUAAGAAGCUGUGCAGUAAUGCCAGUUACUGUUCAGUCAUUUAGUACUUGUAUGUACAAGUACUAAAUGACUGCGCAGUCAGUAUCUCACGUAGAGGCAGCCACUGAGAGCUGACUUAGGCUAAUGACAACUUUUAAAAAUUUCACCAGCAUGGGACCUCAUGCUGUCAUACUAAUUAAAGUGUGUUUGGCUUAGUAUUUUCCUCAUGUGUGAUAGUACUCAAUAAUAUUGUCAAUGCUAUCACCUGAGGAAUACUUAAUGUUAUUUUUAUAAUUUAUCUUUAAAAGAUUUGAUACCAUCCUCAACAUAUAGUACAUAACAUUUUGCAGAUACCAAAUAUAAAAAUACGUAAAAUAUUCUUGCGGGGUAAGAAAAUUUUUUUUUGAUACAAAUGAAAAUAUACAGUAAUACUAUCUCAAUCAAAGAUUAUGGGUAAAGCAGUAGUCUUGAAUAACCUGUUAGCUUAGCUAACUAGCUUAUAGUAGCUACCUUACCUUCUCUUUUAUGGCAUAGUUUGCUCUCAAUCAAUAUACAGCUUUUUAAAUCAGGGAACUGACAGAUAGAUGCAUCUGAUUGACCUCCUGAGGUCAAGGAUGAAUAUGAUUCAUUGUAUUCUAGAGAGAAAGAAUGGAGAUGCUAGAGGGAAAGCAAUAUAAUAAGGUAGCUGCUGUUGGAGUCCCAUUGUCAAAAGUGAUUUGGAAAAAAAAACAAAAAAACCCCAAACAACUUAGGUUCCUAAGCAUCUAAGUCAAUUCUGGAAAUAAAAAUUAGGCUUCUAGGUUGGGUUGCUAGAAC